rnacentral:lncRNA from 1 species
AAUGACUCAGUUAUUUAAUUCAGUCAUGCAAUCAGAUUAUAAAAUGAAUGCAACAGAAUUCAGUAAUCAGUUUUAAUGUAAUAAAACUGUCUAUCUUGGUCCAAUGGGUUGCAUUCUCCCAGCUUACUCAAUCUGCACAAUAAUCAACAAACAGUUAGAUGACAAUGAAUUCUCUAUUUCAAAGUGCCAAGGAAUUAGGCCACGAUAGCCUUACAAGACUCACAACACUCAAGGCUUCUCUUAAAAAAAAUUUAAAGCACACAAAUGAGGGUUUGGAAGGGAGAUUCUCCCUUGGCAGUACAAGGUUGGAGAGUCUUUCAGACCACCACCACCUAGGAUGCUACCAAGCAC